GAGGUGUGCUCAGAGCAGGGGGCCUAAAGAAUGGCUCCUCUGGUUACAACACACCCAACAGGAAUCUGGGUCAUUGUGAUGAGGGACAUAAAACUCGUGGCCUCCCUAUGAAUAAAUGCUCUACAUGU
rnacentral:snoRNA from 1 species